UAGGGAAUCUUCCGCAAUGGACGAAAGUCUGACGGAGCAACGCCGCGUGAGUGAAGAAGGAUUUCGGUUCGUAAAACUCUGUUGUUAGGGAAGAAAAAAUGUAUAGUAACUAUAUACAAAAGAGACGGUACCUAACCAGAAAGCCACGGCUAACUACGUGCCAGCAGCCGCGGUAAUACGUAGGUGGCAAGCGUUGUCCGGAAUUAUUGGGCGUAAAGCGCGCGCAGGUGGUUUAGAAAGUCUGAUGUGAAAGCCCACGGCUCAACCGUGGAGGGUCAUUGGAAACUAAUAAACUUGAGUGCAGGAGAGAAAAGUGGAAUUCCUAGUGUAGCGGUGAAAUGCGUAGAGAUUAAGAGGAACACCGGUGGCGAAAGCGGCUUUUUGGCCUGCAACUGACACUGAGGCGCGAAAGCGUGGGGAGCAAACAGG
rnacentral:rRNA from 1 species